ACUAAGCGUACACGGUGGAUGCCCUGGCAGUCAGAGGCGAUGAAGGACGUGCUAAUCUGCGAAAAGCGUCGGUAAGGUGAUAUGAACCGUUAUAGCCGGCGAUGUCCGAAUGGGGAAACCCAGUGCAAUUCGUUGCACUAUCGUUAACUGAAUACAUAGGUUAACGAGGCGAACCGGGGGAACUGAAACAUCUAAGUACCCCGAGGAAAAGAAAUCAACCGAGAUUCCCCCAGUAGCGGCGAGCGAACGGGGAGCAGCCCAGAGUCUGAAUCAGCUUGUGUGUUAGUGGAACGGUCUGGAAAGUCCGACGGUACAGGGUGAUAGUCCCGUACACCAAAAUGCACAGGUUGUGAACUCGAAGAGUAGGGCGGGACACGUGGUAUCCUGUCUGAAUAUGGGGGGACCAUCCUCCAAGGCUAAAUACUCCUGACUGACCGAUAGUGAACCAGUACCGUGAGGGAAAGGCGAAAAGAACCCCGGCGAGGGGAGUGAAAAAGAACCUGAAACCGUGUACGUACAAGCAGUGGGAGCACCUUCGGGUGUGACUGCGUACCUUUUGUAUAAUGGGUCAGCGACUUAUAUUCUGUAGCAAGGUUAACCGUAUAGGGGAGCCGCAGGGAAACCGAGUCUUAACUGGGCGUUAAGUUGCAGGGUAUAGACCCGAAACCCGGUGAUCUAGCCAUGGGCAGGUUGAAGGUUGGGUAACACUAACUGGAGGACCGAACCGACUAAUGUUGAAAAAUUAGCGGAUGACUUGUGGCUGGGGGUGAAAGGCCAAUCAAACCGGGAGAUAGCUGGUUCUCCCCGAAAGCUAUUUAGGUAGCGCCUCGUGAACUCAUCUUCGGGGGUAGAGCACUGUUUCGGCUAGGGGGUCAUCCCGACUUACCAACCCGAUGCAAACUACGAAUACCGAAGAAUGUUAUCACGGGAGACACACGGCGGGUGCUAACGUCCGUCGUGAAGAGGGAAACAACCCAGACCGCCAGCUAAGGUCCCAAAGUCAUGGUUAAGUGGGAAACGAUGUGGGAAGGCACAGACAGCCAGGAUGUUGGCUUAGAAGCAGCCAUCAUUUAAAGAAAGCGUAAUAGCUCACUGGUCGAGUCGGCCUGCGCGGAAGAUGUAACGGGGCUAAACCAUGCACCGAAGCUGCGGCAGCGACACUAUGUGUUGUUGGGUAGGGGAGCGUUCUGUAAGCCUGCGAAGGUGUGCUGUGAGGCAUGCUGGAGGUAUCAGAAGUGCGAAUGCUGACAUAAGUAACGAUAAAGCGGGUGAAAAGCCCGCUCGCCGGAAGACCAAGGGUUCCUGUCCAACGUUAAUCGGGGCAGGGUGAGUCGACCCCUAAGGCGAGGCCGAAAGGCGUAGUCGAUGGGAAACAGGUUAAUAUUCCUGUACUUGGUGUUACUGCGAAGGGGGGACGGAGAAGGCUAUGUUAGCCGGGCGACGGUUGUCCCGGUUUAAGCAUGUAGGCUGAUUGUCCAGGCAAAUCCGGAUAAUCAAGGCUGAGGUGUGAUGACGAGGCACUACGGUGCUGAAGUAACAAAUGCCCUGCUUCCAGGAAAAGCCUCUAAGCAUCAGGUAACAUCAAAUCGUACCCCAAACCGACACAGGUGGUCAGGUAGAGAAUACCAAGGCGCUUGAGAGAACUCGGGUGAAGGAACUAGGCAAAAUGGUGCCGUAACUUCGGGAGAAGGCACGCUGGUGUGUAGGUGAAGUCCCUGCGGAUGGAGCUGAGACCAGUCGAAGAUACCAGCUGGCUGCAACUGUUUAUUAAAAACACAGCACUGUGCAAACACGAAAGUGGACGUAUACGGUGUGACGCCUGCCCGGUGCCGGAAGGUUAAUUGAUGGGGUUAUCCGUAAGGAGAAGCUCUUGAUCGAAGCCCCGGUAAACGGCGGCCGUAACUAUAACGGUCCUAAGGUAGCGAAAUUCCUUGUCGGGUAAGUUCCGACCUGCACGAAUGGCGUAAUGAUGGCCAGGCUGUCUCCACCCGAGACUCAGUGAAAUUGAACUCGCUGUGAAGAUGCAGUGUACCCGCGGCAAGACGGAAAGACCCCGUGAACCUUUACUAUAGCUUGACACUGAACAUUGAGCCUUGAUGUGUAGGAUAGGUGGGAGGCUUUGAAGCGUGGACGCCAGUCUGCGUGGAGCCAACCUUGAAAUACCACCCUUUAAUGUUUGAUGUUCUAACGUUGGCCCCUGACCGGGGUUGCGGACAGUGUCUGGUGGGUAGUUUGACUGGGGCGGUCUCCUCCCAAAGCGUAACGGAGGAGCACGAAGGUUAGCUAAUCCUGGUCGGACAUCAGGAGGUUAGUGCAAUGGCAUAAGCUAGCUUGACUGCGAGCGUGACGGCGCGAGCAGGUGCGAAAGCAGGUCAUAGUGAUCCGGUGGUUCUGAAUGGAAGGGCCAUCGCUCAACGGAUAAAAGGUACUCCGGGGAUAACAGGCUGAUACCGCCCAAGAGUUCAUAUCGACGGCGGUGUUUGGCACCUCGAUGUCGGCUCAUCACAUCCUGGGGCUGAAGUAGGUCCCAAGGGUAUGGCUGUUCGCCAUUUAAAGUGGUACGCGAGCUGGGUUUAGAACGUCGUGAGACAGUUCGGUCCCUAUCUGCCGUGGGCGCUGGAGAAUUGAGGGGGGCUGCUCCUAGUACGAGAGGACCGGAGUGGACGCAUCACUGGUGUUCGGGUUGUCAUGCCAAUGGCACUGCCCGGUAGCUAAAUGCGGAAGAGAUAAGUGCUGAAAGCAUCUAAGCACGAAACUUGCCCCGAGAUGAGUUCUCCCUGAGACUAUAAGUCUCCUGAAGGAACGUUGAAGACGACGACGUUGAUAGGCCGGGUGUGUAAGCGCAGCGAUGCGUUGAGCUAACCGGUACUAAUGAACCGUGAGGCUUAACC
rnacentral:rRNA from 1 species